UUCUACAAGCAUAGCACUCUGAAUGUGCCCGAUCUUGUCCGAUCCCAGAAACUAAGCGGGUUUGGGCCUGUUUAAUACUUGGACGGGAGACCGCCUGAGAAUACCGGGUGCUAUAGGCU
ensembl:rRNA 5S_rRNA 5S ribosomal RNA